ACGCUCGACACCUACGGGAGCAGCAGUGAGGAAUAUUGGUCAAUGGACGCAAGUCUGAACCAGCCAUGCCGCGUGCAGGAUGACGGCUCUAUGAGUUGUAAACUGCUUUUGUACGAGGGUAAACGCAGAUACGUGUAUCUGUCUGAAAGUAUCGUACGAAUAAGGAUCGGCUAACUCCGUGCCAGCAGCCGUGGUAAUCUGAGCGGGCUGGCAAGGC
rnacentral:rRNA from 1 species